rnacentral:misc_RNA from 1 species
AAACACAGGAUUCAUCUGUUCUUGCACAGCUGGGGUGGCCUGAUAUGCGCCUACCAAUUCUAUGCACUAUGUCAUGGCCCGAGAGAAUAUACUGCUCUGAAAUAACCUGGCCUCGCCUUGAUCUUUGCAAGCUUGGGUCUCUAACAUUUAAAGCUCCUGACAAUGUAAAAUACCCAUCCAUGGAUCUUGCCUAUGCUGCUGGUCGGGCUGGAGGCACCAUGACCGGAGUGCUUAGUGCUGCUAAUGAGAAAGCUGUAGAGAUGUUCAUAGAUGAAAAGAUCAGCUAUCUUGAUAUUUUCAAGAUUGUGGAGCUAACUUGUGAUAAACAUAGGGCAGAAUUGGUGACCUCACCCUCUCUCGAGGAAAUUAUACAUUA